rnacentral:rRNA from 1 species
UACGUAGGGCGCAAGCGUUGUCCGGAAUUAUUGGGCGUAAAGAGCUCGUAGGCGGCUUGUCACGUUCGGGUGUGAAAGCCCGGGGCUUAACCCCGGGUCUGCAUUCGAUACGGGCUAGCUAGAGUGUGGUAGGGGAGGAUCGGAAUUCCAGGUGUAGCGGUGAAAUGCGUAGAUAUCUGGAGGAAUACCGGUGGCGAAGGCGGCAUCCUGGACCGACAUUGAACGCUGAGGAGCGAAAGCUAGGGGAGCAAACAGGGG